UUUUUGUCUUUUCUUUCUUUUCUUUUGUUUUGAUAGGGUCUCACCUUAUAGCCCAAGUUGGCCUUGAACUGACAUUCUUCCUGCCUCAACCUCCCAAAUUGAGAGUUCUGGGAUUAGAGGAACAUCCCACCACUAGUUCCCCAUCUCGGUUUUUCUUUCUGAGAAAAAAAAAAAAUACAAGACUAAGUUCCAAUACCUAAAACUUCUGAACUUUAGUUUCCUUUAAGUACACCAGGGUUGGCCAGACAGCUCGGUUGAUCAAGUUACUUACCAUUCUCUUCAGAGGGAGCAAUAAUGUGAACAGGAGAUAGGAAUUGGCCAGGCAGGGGCUGGAGGGAUGCUCAGCCAUUAAGCACAUUUGCUAUUCUUUUGGAGGAGUUCAGAUCGCAGCACCCAUGUAGUGGUUCACAAUUCUCUAUAACGGGGAUCCAACACCUUCUUCUGGUCUCUUUGGGUACUUUGCAUAUGUGGUACACAUGCAUACAUGCAGACCAUACACAUAAAAUAAAAACAAAUAAAUCUUUAAGAAGAAAAGAACCUGGCUAGGCAGUUUCCAGGCAUUCCAAAAGUGUCCCUGGUCUUCUGGUGCAUGAACCUCACAAGGAGCUCUGAUUUCCCAUUGUCCCCUUCCUGAAGGUUACACUUGAGGGUGGGACCUUCAGUCAGACACUAAUCCAUUUGUGGAUAGUGUUAGAAUUAGGUCCAUAGAUUUUUCAUGAUAAAAUGGCUUAUAUCUGUUCCCCAGUUUUAGCCUAAUCUCCUAUAUGAUUUUAGGGGUAGCUCAUCAGAGGGGGAAAUUUACAGUAGCCUUGAUCAGGACUUUUCUGAGUCUCAUUAAGAGAAAACCAUUGCCUUCUGGUCAGAAAAAUGGAAUCUACCUCUUGCCUAGGCCGAGACCUACCAUUGCAAGCUAACCAAAACAUAAGCGUUAAUCAAGUCGGGCAGGUCCAUCACCAGGCUAAUGGACUGCCCAUUAGGAAGGCAGAUUCACCUAACUCUAUGCUAAUGAGAUGGAAGGAAUAAUUAUCCCUUUAAUGAAGUAAUGUCCUUUUCCUUCCCAGAGUCCCUGCUAUCUGUACAGUCACUACAGAACUACCAUGAAAAGUAAUUUUCACUUUUUCUUUUUCUUUUUGCUGGCCCAGGCCUAAGCGCACAUUCUUUAGUACUUUGAGCUGUUUCACUCUCUCCAUGUGGCUGCAUGCUAACCCUCUACCCACUCAAAAGAAAGCGUGGCUUUCUCUCUUCUUUUUCUCUAUAUCCCUCUUCCAGGUAUGUUUGAUCCCCAUAAGCCAUAGGGUAGAAGGAGAGAACCAAUUCCUGCAAGCUGUCAUUUUACACACACACACAUGUACAAAUAAUGUAAUUUUUAAAACCACAACAAGUAGACCAAUGUUUACUCAUACCUUUGAAAAAUGGACUGACCUUAUUUAAAAAAAAAAUUAUACAAAACACAUAUAUCCUACUUAAUGUGUGCAACAACCUACUCUUUAUAGGGUGUGUGUGUGUGUGCGCUUGCAUGCAUGUAUGUGUGUGUGGAGGAGGGGUGGGGCUUGUGGUACACUUCAUAAAGGGAAAGAUGCAAAGGUCAACUAAGUUAAAUGGCCUCAGCACCAAAAUGCUCAGAAGUGAAACCAGAGCAGAGGCCCAGAACAAGACUUUAGGGAUCCACCCUCUGUGCGUCGCUCAAAUGUGUUUUCUUAGUUCUGUAGAGGACUGAUUUUAAGCACUAGUGUUUUAAACUCCUUACAUCUCAGACACCCAGCAGGUAGUAUCAAGUGUGCUAAUGACCAAGUCUCAGUAUCUCCGUGUUCACCAAGCUUGCUUUUGUUUCCAAACUGACCCAGGACUGCAGAACAAAGCUCCCUGCUGGCAAUGGUGAGCCUAUUCCAAAAGCCCUGUAAUUGUGCACAGACUUGAAAAGCCAUAGCGCCUUGUGAGUAUGUGUGCCAGGUCAAGAGUACUAGGGCACCAUAAACAAACACUGCUUAGUUGCCUGCCAGGCAGAGCUCGGGCACAGUUAGUGUGCAGCCUGUGGUAGAUCCCUGUGUGGUUAGCAAGCUGCUUGGUUUCUCUGAACAUCCGUUUCCUUAUCUAAAAAUGGGCUGCCAUUAGGAUCAAGUGGCACAAUGCUUUUUAAGGGCUUGGAGUAACGUUUGGAACUUAGAAGCCCCUCCAUAUACUGAGGAUCUUUGUAUUUUUGUGAUAGUUGUCAGCUCAAUGCAUGUUCUCUUGAUUGUUUCCAUUGUAUGGAAACAAGUCACAAAGUAACAGACUUACAUUCCAGUCGGGAUGCUCCUGCAGUGAGGAAGAACUUUGGCUUGGAAGUAAGUGUGCACUAGCUGGCCGUCCACAUUUGUGGUAAGUAUUCCAGAAGUAGUUGGUGACUGUUAAUCGACUUGACUUUGGAAUGAUGACCUGUUCUUCCGGGUUGUGGGUUAGUUUAACUGAAGAAUAAGAAGUUCUAAGAAAGGUGGUUUGUUUGUUUAUUUAAGUCAUCAUCUGUGAUGGUUUAUCUUUCGGAAAUAUAUUUCUCAACACUGUCCAGCCACAGUGAUGUCAGUGAUGGGAUUGUCCUUGACCACUCUAGCCUGACUCCACGUGGCAUUAUGUUCCUGGGAAUAGCUUUGCCGUUGUACUUACCAACAGAAUACAGAGUUAAAUGUUACCACUGCGAAGUUACCAAAUAAAUCUGAGCUAG
rnacentral:lncRNA from 1 species